rnacentral:rRNA from 1 species
AGAGUUUGAUCAUGGCUCAGAAUCAACGCUGGCGGCGCGCUUAACACAUGCAAGUCGCACGAGAAAGGGGAGCAAUCCCUGAGUACAGUGGCGAACGGGUGAGUAACACGUGGGUGAUCUGCCCUGCACUUUGGGAUAAGCCUGGGAAACUGGGUCUAAUACCGAAUACACCUUCCUGGUUGCAUGGCUGGGUGGGGAAAGCUUUUGCGGUGUGGGAUGGGCCCGCGGCCUAUCAGCUAGUUGGUGAGGUAACGGCCCACCAAGGCGACGACGGGUAGCUGGCGUGAGAGCGCGGCCAGCCACACUGGGACUGAGACACGGCCCAGACUCCUACGGGAGGCAGCAGUGGGGAAUCUUGCACAAUGGGCGAAAGCCUGAUGCAGCGACGCCGCGUGGGGGAUGAAGGCCCUCGGGUUGUAAACCCCUUUCGACGGGGAAGAAGCGAAAGUGACGGUACCCGUAGAAGAAGCCCCGGCUAACUACGUGCCAGCCGCCGCGGUAAUAC